GUCACUAUUUGAUUCCUGAUUUAAUCAACAAUAUGUUAUCUUAACAAUUCACUUUAACACUUGUCCAACUUUAACCAGUACGUACAACAGUCACUGAAUCACACAACGUAACAAGGAUAUAGUAAGUGCACCAGGCAAGCGCAGUCCAACGAAUGUUCAUUUCAAGGCACGUUCCGCCUUUUUAUACUAGCCGGCGCAGCUGGCUUAUGAGUCACUUCUGUUGCAGCUGUUGUUUACGAGUGGAACGACACGGCCGGCGCGCCUGGCUUGUGUGAGUCACUCCUAUUGCACGUGCUAUAUAACAUAAAUAUCGUUAACGCCGUCAAGCAUAAUGGGGGGGGGCGCAACAAUUGCCAACAGGAAGGAGGUGGCAGCACGAGUUGCGAAAGGUAGAGGGUCCCAAUCGUGCACCCCGAGCACUGUGAUAGCGCCUUUUCACUGCGCUCAACCCGAAGCUCCGCAAGGGGCUGCGCGUCGAGCGGUCGAGAGCCGCCACCAGUCAGCCGGAACCAGACUGACCCGAGGACCUGAUCGGAGGAAGCGGAAGUCAGUCAAACGACCAGCAACUCUAGCUCCUUCCGACUCCUCGAAGGUUGAACCUGUGCCUGUUAAAUUUCUGGCAAUUGAAGAAGGAUUGGUAGAUGCUGCAGCGUCACCCAACAAAGGUUGUGGACGUGGCCAGAACUUGACGAUGACCUACGGUGAACCGGCUGUCACCGCUUCGGUCCGGACCGGUCCCUGCCGCCGUAAAGAUGCGGGUUACGUAAGAGAAGGAGAGGUUACGCGAUUAGCUCGCUCCAUCACAAAGGAGAUGGAGUCAACGGACCCGCCAGGGACAAAGUGGCUUCCGCCAUUGCAUCGCAGGGUAAUUGCGCCCUCACGCAGGUGAAGGUGGGGGAGCUCCGGAGUUGUUACUCUGGGAACUUCACUGUGUGGACGCGUUGCUCUGUGUAGGCGGCCACCCUCUUGGCCACGCCUCCACAAGGUCAGCCUACCGACUCGCCGGGAAGGCUGCGCGUAAGUUGGGUGAUAACCCACGUGCAGCUGCAGGAGGCACGUCCAUGGCGAUCCCUAUGGUGCUUUGGCACCGGGCACGGCCUCACCAGGUGCCCGGCGGCUGUGGAUCGCAACGGACUUUGGUUCCGUUGCGGUCAGCCCGGACACAAGGCAGCCUCCUGUACCGCCGCCGCACUGCACUGCGUGUUGUGUGACGCAGCAAAACGGCGGGCCGAUAAUCGGGCCGGGGCUCCGGCCUGUCUUUCCUCACCCUCCUCCACAAACAGGGGGCGUGGCGGAAAAAAGAAGAAGACAGAGGAAGAGCCGGCUUCGUGUGAAACAGCCGGCCAGAGGAUCUACGUACGCCUCGCCAAGUUCGACCGUUUCCUGGGCGGGCUCGAGGCGUUGGGUCAUUGCGUGGGGCUCCCCGGAACGAACUCGCGCGGCGAGUUCCUGUCGGAGCGGGCUUUCCCGACCGGCCUGUCUUCUAAGCAGAGGUUCAGUCGCGACUUGCGUGCGGUGGAAUGGGGAAUCACACGUGGACGUAUCGUUCGCGUCUACGUCCGCCGCGCGCCGUGUCCGUGGCUGGCGUGUCCUCGAGGGGGUAUGUGAGGUCCCCACUGAAAGUGCUGUGGGGACCUCAUCUAUAUAUUAAUACGUGAAGCAAAAAUUUUGUAUCUCUUUUUACGAAAAUUGCGCGGACGGAGGAGUAUGAAAUUUUCCACACUUAUAGAGAAUAUAGAGAAGAAGUGCACAAUACUAAUUUAUUUUUUAAAUAAUACAUAAAAGAUACAUUAAAUCAAUAAAGAAAACAUUACACAUACUACAUACCAUGUAUUUGACGCACACACGCAUGCAUACUAUUUAUUGUCAAACUUUUGUUCUUGACGUCUGUGGUCAAAUUGAGAAUAGAUUAAAUAUUGUUUGUCUUUAUUAAUAUUUUGUAAGCGAAAUUUGUGAUUAUAGAAGUAUAAAAUACAAUCAUAAUAGUGUACAAACUUACAAUUCCAAUUAAUUAUAGUCGAAUUUCGACUACUGCGGGACCUCUAGUAUUCAUAAAUUAGCGAGUAAGCUCAGCUCUGCAGCAUACGCAGUAAAAAUUAGAAGGUUAACAAACACGGACACGCUUUGUUUAGUUUAUUUUAGUUACUUCCACAGUGUUAUGCCCUAUGGCAUUUUACUAUGAGGCAAUGUGGUAGAUGUAGAAAUGAUAUUUAUUCUGCAGAAAAGAGCUAUACGUGCUAUUUAUAACAUGCACCCAAAGGAAUCCCUGAAUUAAAGUUCUCAUAAUGCCAUCCCAAUACAUUUUUGAAAAUUUGAUGUAUGUUCGUAAACAUAUUGAGGGAUUUCCUAAAAAGUUUGACAUACAUAAUAGAAAUACUAGGAACAAACACAAGCUUGAUGUGCCGAUGAGUAGGUUACAUAAAAUACGAAAUUCCUUCGGGUGUUUGUUUCGGCGUGACUUUAAUUUAAUUCGAUCAUGGGUGUGGGAGUUCAAAAUUAAACGGCGGCGUGGUAAUGAACAGUGUUGUAAUAAAAAAAUUAAUAAAUCCUAAUACAAUAAAAACUAAAAUGUUGCCACUUUAUGAACAAUGAUUGAAUGAUUGAUAAAUAAGACCGGUGCCAGACACGACAUGCCCCCAUGCGUUGAAGGGACUGUUUCAACCAACAGUGUCAGGAUCGGCAGCGGGCAGUUCUUGCUGAAUGAGCGUCGCACCAUUCCAGCAGCGGUUUUAAUGUUGGCCACUCUGGUAACUCCAUCAGUGCCAGGAUGCACUUCGACGAUACGAUCCAUUCUCCAUUUAAGUGGUGGCAAAUUCUCCUCCUUUAUCAGCACAAGGGAGUCAAGUUUAAGUGAUCCCUUGCUUGCACGCUAUUUCCUUCUAAUCUGAAGCUCGCAUAUGUAUUCCUUGCUCCAACGUGAACAAAAAUGCUGGCGGAGCUGCUCAACACAAUGAAAUCUCGUUAAUGUGUUCAUGGAGCGAUCUCGGAGCUCAGGCGACGGUAGGGAAACGAGUGGUCGCCCAAUCAGGAAAUGUCCAGGGGUGAGCGGCGUCAGAUCCUCUGGACUCGAAGACAGUGGAGUGAGUGGUCUGGAAUUCAGCAGAGCUUCAAUCUGGACCAGUGUGGUCGUUAGUUCUUCGUACGUUAAAUUACAUUGUCCCAAUACUCCAACUAAAUGAUGUUUAGUGGACUUGACACCAGCUUCCACUAGGUCAGCAAAGUGUGGCGAAUAAGCCGAAAUAAAAUGAAAAAACACGCCAUCACUAGCCAUGGUAUCAGUAAAACCGUCACAACUCGCCUUGAUUAAUUUUGAAAUUUCGUUAUGCGGGUCAACAACGAGGUACCAUUGUCAGAAUAAAUAUUUGUCGGUUUUUCUCGACCCGAAAUAAAUUUCCGUAAAGCCGGAAUAAAAGUAUUGCUCGUUAAAUCACCCACUAAUUCUAAAGAUAUCGCUUUGGUGACGCAAUAUACAAAAACGGCAAUGUAAACCUUUGUUACCUUACAUCCACGACCUUGCCGUGUAACGGCCUGUAUAGGACCUGCAUAAUCGAGUGCAACGUUCUCAAACGGCAACCCUCCAGGUGAUACUCUGUGUUGCGGCAGAUUCCCCGUGAUCGUGUCAUGUCCGCCUGACGGCGGGUACAAAAGAAAGGAUUCAACGACAAAGAUUGCAACUGUUUUAUUGUUAAUAUACUAAUAUACUGUUUUAUUGGUAAUUAAUUACAUAAAAAAUAAUAAUAACAAUAAUUGAAUUAAAAAAUAUAUAUAUUAUAUAUGACGGAGGAGAAACGCUGAAGGAAUGUUUUUAAAAAGUGUGACGUCAGCAUUGUUGACGUCACGGUCUUUAAGUUCUCGAUGAUGACUCAUAUUUGGGCUUCCAAAACAAAACUUCACGAGAACUGCGUAUAUUGCACGAGAAGCAUAACAACGUUACAGAGAGAUCCGUACUGUACUACGGCUCGGACACGAAUGAAUAAACGCUAGACAGCACGGCCGUAUUUAUCGGACUUCGUACACGUCAGCGUGUUUACAAGUAUUAAACACGUGAGCGUGUUUACAAGAUUUUAAAGUAUUGAAAUUACAAUAAAAGGGACUGUUUAACAUCAAUUUCUUAUCACAGAUUAAUUAGUUGAUGAUCAGUAGGUAAAUAGUCAUAUUUGCGCCGACAUAUACUAUUGAUGACAACUCGCGGGGAGUGGGUUCGCGGCACAGGGAAGUUCUCUGGUCUUUAAAAACCUGUGUGCUCCGGGUACUUAACUCGGGACUGUUCGAUCCGUGACGCGUGGGGGUCUUCUCUGAGGAAGGUUCCACUACCUGACGGUGAACUCGGAGACGGUGCGUGAUGGUCCACGAUCCGUACUUGGAUAUGCAACCCGUACUUUGUAAUCCGUACUGUGGAUUAAUUACUUAUUAUGCAACUCGUUCAACUCCCCCGGGCUCAGUGACGACGCGUCCAAGUUGUUUACGUAGUUCGAGAAGGCGGUCAAUCUCCCUUUAAAGCUCGCUCUUUUUCUAAUGAGAUCCUUAUCCAUUAUGGAAUGUUGGUGUCAGUUCCUGGAAUCGUCGAUGGUAACAAUAUUAGGUUACGUAACAGCGUGGUUGCUUUUUGCAAUACGUAAGAAUUUAAUGUUAACGUAAAUACCAACACAUAACAACACUUAAAGUCUAGCGAUUACUAAGUUAAUAGCAUUUAAUGUAAGUAGCGGUAGUAAGUUUUGCGGUAGGCAGCGGCUUGGCUCUGCCCCUGGCAUUGCUGAAGUCCAUGGGCGACGGUAACCACUCACCAUCAGGUGGGCCGUAUGCCCGUCUGCCUACAAAGGCAAUAAAAAAAAAAAAAAAAAAAAAGUAGAUACAGUUUUGCGUUGAAAUAAGGAUCUAAACUUAGAACAUUUUUUUUAUAUUUUCAAUUUAGACAACUGACCGCCAUUUUUUUACAUUAUAUUCUUUGUGAACAAAUCGUAACAGGCAAUACGUACAAUGCUUGUAAUCUGAUAAUGUAUAUUGGAAACAAAAUAAGUAUUUACUAGGUUUAAAUUAAAUAAGUAUACAAUAUAAACUGACCUUGGUCGACGAAUGCCUUUAAAAUUUAUAUUUAAUGAUAAUAAAUACUAAACAUGAGUGUUGGGUGCACUUUCGUCUAAAUACCAUGUUUGAGGUCGGAUACUCCACUUUUCCACUUGAUCACUUGCUGGUUCCUUGUUUUCCUUUAAUUAUCUGGCUCUGAAGGCCGUGUUUCGUCGUGACUUUAAUUUAAUUCGAUCUUGGGUGUGGGAGUUGAAAAUUAAACGGCGGCGUGGUAAUGAACAGAGUUGUAAUAAAAAAAAAUUAAAUCCUAAUAUAAUAAAAGUUAAAAUUUUGCCACUUUGUGAACAAUGAGUGAAUGAUUGUUAAAUAAGGCCGGUGCCAGACACGACAUCUAUGCGCCUGUACAACAAAAUCCCAGAAGAUGUUCAGAAACUACAUAUACAUAGAUUUAAGAAAACUAUUAAAGAACAUCUGUGCAAUAAGGCUUACUAUAAAGUCAACGAUUAUCUAGAAGAUUGCACAAAGUGGGAAUGAGUUGCUCGCUCCGGGCAUUUCAAUAUUGCAAUAAUUGUUACGUUAUAAUACUGCUUGUAAAAAUGAAUAUUUAAAAAAAUCUAAUAUUUAAAAAAAAGACAUGCCCGCUGAGUUCUUGCCAGUUCUUCUCAGAAUCGAGGCUACUUUUUGUGAAUUGGCGGUAGUUCUUUUUGACGUUCAACAGUUAUAAACUUUCAUUUAUGUUGAAUAAAAAAAAUUUAUUGAUUGAUUGAUUGAAUAGUGUUUGUCAUUUUGAUCAAUAUAGUCUCGUUUCUUAUAGCACAGCAAAAGUUCCUGAUAUGUUGCUCUCAUUUUUCUGUCUAGUUGUGUUAUGGCAACACCACUUUUUUGAAAGUAUUCAUUCAUGUUAACGAGCUUGGGUAACACCCAUUACAAAAAUAGAAAAAAAACAGUUUAAUGAAUCGAUCAUUGAAAUUAUUAAAUACUGGCAGCCCGCUCCGGCCCAGCUCGGGUCUUCAAAAACAUCAACGAUAUUUGACGUUGUUUUACUUAAAAAAAUAAAAGAACACUUAUUGCGGCAUAACUAUAAUAGUUAGACGUAAUGACGAUGCUUGUAGCUGAAAGUAAGUAUUGUAUUUUUUGACGAAGCAUGUUGCUGAUAACUCUAUUUCUGUAAUCUGACGAAGCAUGCCGCAGAUAAUAACAUGUACUUUUAGGUUAGGAAUAUUAUGUUCUUUUUUUAUAAUAAACAAUUUAAAGUAUAAUUAGUUAGACAUAUUCUGUCGCGACACUUUUUGUAAUUAAAUUUGCAAUUUUUUUACACCUUGGAUUACAUUAUUGGAGUUUUAGUAAGGAUCCCAUUUUUUUUUAAAUAUUAUAGCCUAUGUCACUCGGGAAUAGUGCAGCUACCAAACAGUGAAAUAAUUUUUCAAAUCGGUUCAGUAGUUUCGGAGCCUAUUAAAUACAAACAAACAAACAAAUCUUUCCUCUUUAUAAUAUUAGUAUAGAUAAUAUUAGUAUAGAUAAGCUCUGCCGACACAAUACGCUCAUUUAGCCACUUUUUUGCAAAGAAAAGAUUUAAAGAACCAAUAGUCAUUGAACAAAGGUUAAGAAAGAUAGCCAUCGUAUCUGGGAAGGGUGCAAUAUUUUGUGUACUUUGAUGUUAGUAAAAGCUCUCGACAAAUUCAGAUUGACGUUUUGAGCUGUGUUAAAGAAUCCAAAUACAUUCCGCGCUAAGUCCUCGCAACGCCUUGGCAAUUUCUCGCAAGCUUCUCUUGCACACAGGUGUAAUCAGUGACAGGUGCAUUUCAGAAUAAUUAUUUCGGGUUUAUUCGCUGUAAAACGACCAGCUAUUAAAUUGUGCCGGCCCAUGACACUAGCGCUGUCAGAAGCAAACCCAAUUAUAUUAUCUAAAGGAAUAUUUCGUCUUCCAAGCUUUUGGUUAUAGAGUUAUAAAUGGCUGCUCCAGUUGCGCCUUGUGUUGCAGCAUCAAAAUCGUCUUUGUCGAAUAAAGGUCGCAGUUCCCAUAAAACGCUUGAAUUUUUUUUCAUUUCCAUGUCAUAAAGUCUCACGACAGUGCACAUUGUUUUACUGAUGAAUUUUCAGUUGACUCAUCGACCAAUAUGCUGAAUUUAGUCGAUUUUAACAGGGUUUCUAAAUCACUUUUGUGGCUGUCCUCAAUAACGUUUUUUAUUACUCCUGAAUAUUUUGUUCUUCUCAAUUUAUUAUCGGCAGCAAUUUUUGAAUUAGGUACACUUUUUAUUAUUUCACCUAAGUGAUCCAUGGUUGAAACGAAAUGUUAUGCUCAGUCAUAAAUAAACAUAGUUUUAAUUAAAGUUCAGCAACUGUAUUUUCAUGGGAAGAAUGGGCAUCAGAUUUUAGAAAAAAUUUGUAUAGUAUAUAUCUCGAGGCUAUAUGCGCUUGGUCUGGUAUGUUUGGUUUGACGGUCAAUCCAACCAAAUGUCAGGCGAUUAUUAUUGGUAGUCCCCGUUUGUUGGGACGAUUAGAUUUUAGCUCACUCCCACCCGUAACUUAUAAUGGAGCAAUUAUACCUCUGAGCCCUUCAGUCAAAGUGGAUUCGGUGGAUUUGGUGGAUUCAGUGGAUUUAGUAGAUUUAGUGAAUUCAGUGGGUUUAGAAGAUUUAGUAGAAUUAGUAGAUUCGGUGGAUUUAGUAGAAACAGCGGAAACAGUGAAUGUGUUGGUGUCCUUUGUAUAAGGGUGGAUCGGGUUUAGGCCUUGGGGGCUCACGAGACACCGCUGUGGGCCCGUUACUCGUUUAAAUGUUCGUUUGUGGGUGUUGUUUGAUUGGGGUUACUAUAACCGGCAUUGUUGUCGUUUACAAAAUGAACGCGAUUCGGAUAUCGAGGAGUUCCCUGUGAAUAAUUAGGAUUCGGAGUAUAUUGCAUUCGUCUAUUGUUGUUGAAUUGUCGCUUGCGGCAGUUUUCUAUGGUAUUUUUUUUUUGUCAGGAGGAAAUCGCCGGACUUCCGCCCUUCACUGGGGAUGGAGGGCGGGGCAUGUCGGAGUUGAACCGACUAAAACCUCCUGUCGCUCAACAACCAGCAUCCAAACCCGCAUGAGACAAAACUCAUGAAAAGGCAAAGGGGGGAAGGUGAAGCGUUUAAUGCGGAGCACAUCUCUCCCAUCACCCUCCCCCUCGGGACGCCGGACUGGCGGUCGUCGGCGCCACGACCACCGGUCCUCUCGGUCGGCAGGCUAUCCGAAGCCCGCCCAGAUGGCACCGGUUAGAAUGGUCUAUCCUACGGAAUACCCCGCUGGGUCAGAACCAGCGUGGGUCGAGGAUGGCCGGCCUUCCAUCACCCGGAUGCUCUUGCAUAAAACGCGUGCAGAGCAGCUUGCACGUCGUCUUCUUAGGCCCCCUUCGCCGGUCCCCAGGCCGACAUGUGAGGGAGACCCGAAACACUUAGAGGGCCAGGGCUUGGGCGAAAUCCGCCUCCCUGGCCCCCGCUCGACGGCGGCGGGCCUAUGCGUCUCUCACGCGCCCCGCCGCCUCCUUCUACAAGAUGGUGCACUCGCAGAAGUCAAGCAUCGCCUUCCACGACUCGUCGUCAGCGAGCAUCGAUGCCACAACACUCGGCAACGACAAGUCGUUUCCUAUUUUUGCGACGAGGACACGGCGCCACCCCUCCCAUGCGGGGCAGGCGAAGUUUUCUAUGGUAUGGUCUACAUUUUUGCAGUAUCUGCAGACAGCGGUGUUUGUUCUGAAAUUGGACUGAGGUUGAAACUGAGGCCUCGGAAAAGGUUGAUUAUUGGUUGGUCUACACUCAGCAUGUGUGCUAGUAGACGGGCCAAACUGUCUUUUAACUGUCAUCCCUAUAAAUUUUUCUUCCGCCGUCGUAAAAUUAAUCGCUUCAUUUAUAGUGCUAGGGUCCCUACAUCUGACUACUGUAGCUAAUGGGGGUUGUAAUCCUAUUAUGAAAACGUUCAGAGCUAGGUCUUGCAUAGCAGCCAGCCGUCCGGCUAACUCGUCCUUUUUCUUGGUCGGUAUUGAAAUAUUUAUCUCCGUUAAUAAUUUAGCGAGACAAGAUUCAACCCUUAAUGAAUAUUGACUUACGGAUUCGUUUCGGCCUUGUUUUGUUUGCAUUCUUGAAGGUCUGAUAAUAAGUAUGCAUAAUGUUUAACGUCUCCAAAUUGAGUUUUUAAGAAUUCUUCUAACUGUGACCAUUUAGUAAAUUAUUUGACGGCACAUGCCGUUUCCGCUUUGCCCUCUAGGCGGCUGAGUAUAUAUUUUAAGAGAACCUCUGCUUGAGAAGCGGAUGCUAGAUUUAUGGUGUUGCGACAAUUAUUUAAGAACGGUGUUAGUUUAUCUCGUGAACCAUCGAAAGUACCGAUGAAUUCGAUAAGGACGUUUAGAGCAAUUUCCGACAUUGUAACAGAUUCUUCUUCUUUAACCUCUCUCUGUUUCGUCAUUCAAUAUAUGAUUUAUGUAUAUGUUAUUCAAAUAUUUAUUUAUAUUUAUGUGACAUAAAAUGAUUAAAACAAACAAACAAACAGGAAGAAAAAAAAAGAAAAAAUAAUUAUUCUUAUAUUAUAUAUAUAUUCUACAUAAAAUUUGAAAUUGAAAAAGCACGAUCUAUAACUUAUAGUGGUGAGGUUAAAACUUACGGGUGUUAAAAUUAUCUAAAAGGUGGACAAUGAUCGCUUGCGGGCGGUCCUUAUCGCUUCUAAGAAAUUGCAGAUUGCAUUGAAUGUUAGACGCGUGGUUUGAAUAUUUGUAAUAUGAUAUUUUAUUUCAAAUCGCAGGAUAAUUAAUUAUUAAUAAAUUUAUAAAACGAAUUAGUAAUUAUACAAUUAAGUCAGUGAAUUAUCAAGUUCCUUAUCUUAGGACUUACAGUACGAGGAGCAUCUCGAAGUUGGAGCACGAAGAACUGGGAGACGGGAUGAUGAUGAUUUGAUUCUUGAGUAGGACUUCCUUCACCCGAUGAGUUUGAAUAUGUGAUAAAAUUUGCGCCUUAGUUUGCUUCUCACAGGAAACAGCGGAAUUUGAUAUGUAGUUUUCUCACAGGAAACAGUGGAAUUUGAUGUGUAGUUUUCUCAUAGGAAACAGUAGAAUUUGAAGAGUUGUUUUUCACAGGAGACGGUGGAAUUUGAAGAGUCGUUUUUCAUAGGAGACAGUGGAAUUUGAUAAGUUGUUUUUCACAGGAGACGGUGGAAUCUGGUGUUGUUUUUUCACAGGAGACGUUGGAAUUCGCAGUGUCUUGACAAUUUUCUCCUCUAUUCUUUCCAGGAUACAGUGGUUAUUUUCUUCUUUUUCUUCUUUCAAAGCUUACCUUCUAGGUAUGGCUGUUUUCCAGAAUCACGGUGAUGACUUCAGGUACGGAGACGAACCGAGGACCAGGUUUUUUGAUCCUUUUCACGCUGCCGCCAAUGUUAUGCGGGGUUCGGGAGUUCACGUUUUAAAAAAAUAUAUUUGAAUUGUUGAACACUAUAUUAAACUGAUUUGGUAUAAGAUUUGGUAAUUGUUAAAGAAAAAUUGAAUGUGACGAAAGCAAACGAGUACCUCAAAUGACGGCUGAGAUUGAACUGUCGUUUUAUUAUUAAAGUUAUACGAGCUUCUCGCAUGAAAUGCUGAGUGCAUGACUUAAUGUGUCUAUAGUUCAAUAUAGUCAUACAAAGGGGAAGAUAUAACAGCUCCGCGCCUGACGUGACAAGUGUGAGAUCGCCGAGACCUGCCGGCGCUGCCGCUGCGCUAGUGCGCUCCUCCGUUGCUGUUGCACCGUCGUCGCUAUCUCAACCAUCCCCGUCCCCGCGUAGUAGAAUAACGAAAAAUUAGUUAAAAAGCUAUUUUGUGUGUAUUGCAAAUCGCGCGGACAUGUCCGUGAUUCUUGUAACAAAUUAGUGAUAACAAAUCUGUAUCUUGUUAUGGUUGUGGUGAAAAAGGUUUUAUUAAAAGUAACUGUCCAAAAUGUAACAAUAUUCCUAGCAAUAUUCAGUUAAUAAUAGAAACUCACACGUUAAGGACAAUGUAUUCUAUUGUGUAAAUGUGAACACUUUCUCAGAUUCACAUUGUAAUGAUAAACAUCCUGUAACUCGACCUAUAUUGCAUAUAGGUAUACAGGGUUAUAAUGGGACUGCUUUGUUAGAUACCGCCGCACGGCGUAGUAUCGCGGAUUACGCACUCUACGCGCUUUUUCAACGUUUAGGUAUGAAGUUUCGCACUGAGAAUAUGUCAGUGAGACUCGCGGAUGGUACCACUCGGAACACUAAGAUAUUAUUAACACAUGUAGACGUUGAAUUAUGUUCAGUAUUAUUAUAUUCCCCGAUUUUCAGAAUAAUGAAACCUUGUUAGGAAUAGAUUUUAUUUUGAAGGCACGAUUAAUAAUUAUCGAUUUCUCUUCUAUGACUUGGCACUCGGCUGAUCAGCCCCGGGACAUUCACCCUUUGUCAUGUGAAAAUUCACGUGACCCCAUAAGUUGCGCUUCUAUAAACUUGUUGCGCGAAGAUGAAGGCAAAUUCUUAUCGGAGUCGGAAAAGGUGCGUCUGGUGGAUUUACUAGGUGAAUAUUCCGAUGUUUUCGAGGAAAUCGGUGAGCCGACUCCCUUUUCAGAGCGUCGGAUCGACACCGGCGACCACCCUCCUAUCGCUGUACCUCCGUAUCGUGUCACGCCGGCGAGGAAAGAGGUCAUUAGUGCCGAGCUCGACAAGUUAUUCGUCGUGUAUAGAGUGCCAGCGGUACCAGCCGUCUAACUUUAAGCGAGCGGGACUACUCCAGACUCCAGUUCCAGCUCAGCGGUUUAAAGUUAUUGCAGUGGAUCUUUUCGGGCCUUUACCCAAAGGACCCUGCGGUGAGUGGCGGAUACUCGAAGACACCGCCAGUAAGUGGGUUGAGCUGUUCGCUCUCAUUGAUGCCACUGCCGAGGUAUGUGCAAAAACCCUCGUUAAUGAAGUCUUUAUGAGAUUCGGAGUGCCACGCCGGAUGAUUUCCGACAACGGAGUUCAAUUUGUGGCCGACGUCAUGCAAAAGGCUAUGUUUGUUUUAGGGGUAAAACAAAGUCUCAUUCCUCUCUAUCAUCUCGAAGCCAAUCCGGUUGAGCGGCAGAACCGGGACUUAAAGGCUCAUCUUGCCAUAUUGCUUGAAGGCCGUCACCAGCAGUGGCCUGAGGUACUGUCUUUCGUCCGAUUUGCUUUUAAUAGUCGUAAGCUCCAAUCUCCAAUAUCCGCUCAGCUUGAUCUUCGUGCCGCCGUAGAGUCCAAGAACUUUGUCCCCCAGAUAUGCCCAUACUUGUCCAAGCUUGCCGAGACCAUCUCGACCGCUAAGGAGAAUAUAGAACAUCAUCAAGAUAUUCAAAAGACGUGCGCGUGAUAUAAGACGCUCUGAACCUUACCAGUUUGCAGAAGGGGAUCUCGUAUUGAUGAAGACCCACCUACUUAGUAUUGAUAAUAAGGGUAUUACGUCGAAGUUUAAUCCUAAGCGGGAUGGGCCAUAUGUGAUUUCAAAAAAGGGGUUUCUAAUACCACCAUAAGACGAAUUGUUGCUGAAGGCAGAUCUAACAGAGGCGUAUUUAGUACGCCCGGUAAAAAGAGGAAAGGUGGCAAUGAAAAAAAAAACUUGGAUAGUUUUGAUUUAGAAUUGAUCACAAUCAAGAUAAAUGAGUUUUACACUGUACGAAAAGAAAUACCCACUGCCAUGAAAUUGCUACAAAUUCUUCGGGAGAAAAUCAAUUUCAAUGGAGGAAGAGAAUCAUUAAGAUUUAUUUUGAAAGAUAUCUGAUUCGAAUUCGUGAAGUGCCAAUCAAAAAAAUCUAUUUUAAUGGAGCGACAUGACAUAAAGAUACACAGAUUCAAGUAUUUGGAGCAUAUGCAAAAGAAUCGAAAAGCCGAUGAUAAGCUAGAUGUGGUUUAUUUAGAUGAAACCUACAAACACGGUUCAUAUUCAGUGAACAAAUGCUGGCAAAAUAAAAAUAUUGCGGGCCUAGAUGGAUCAUUGUACAUGCUGGUAUAGAGAAUAUGGUUUUGUGCCAAACUUUUGUUUGGUGUAUAGGUCGAAGAGUACAUCUGCUGACUACCACCAUGAUAUGAAUCCUUGAUCAUUGGAUAAAUUUUUAUAUUUGCAUGUAUCACACACAAUCAGCCGAUAUAAAGUAAAACUUACUUACUGGUGGUAGAACCUCUUGUAAGUCCGCGCGGGUAGGUACCGCCACCUUGCCUAUUUCUGCCGUGAAGCAGUAAUGCAUUUCAGUUUGAACUUAUAUCUCAAGGCCGGUGGCGCAUUUACGCUGUAUGUAUCUAUGGGCUGCAGUAACUUAACACCAGGUGCCCUGUAAGCUCGUCCACCCAUCCAAGAAAUAAAAAAAAUAAAAAAAGUAUCAAAAACGUUUUACUCCAUAUCCCAACUAUACUUGGGGCCUUAGAACUCAUAUCUCAAGGCGGGUGGCGCAUUUACGCUGUACGUGUCUAUGGGCUGCAGUAACUUAACACCAGGUGGGCUGUGAGCUCGUCCACCCAUCUAAGAAAUAAAAAAAAUUAAAAAAGUAUCAAAACGUUUUACUCCAAUUUUCCCAGUACUGCUAGCGUCAAUUUCUUUUUUCCACUUUAGCCAUCAGAUCCUGGUAGAUCUAUAGUAACUAACAAACUCCAAAGGUGGCGCCAUCCCAAUGAUUCACUACGCAUACUAUUACUACUCCCGCGCGCAACCAAAAGUCCCGGCUACUUUUCAAAGAAUUAUCGAUAUUGUGCUGCGUGGACUACAAGGAAUACACUGCCUAGUCUACUUAGAUGAUAGUAUCGUCUAUUCGUCUAGCCUUCAGGAACAUGUAGACAAAUUAAGGGCUAUUUUUGACAGACUUACCUUAAGGUUGGUUUUUAACCAAUCUUAAGGUACAGUUAGACAAGUCAGAAUUUUUAAGAAAAGAAUUUCUGAAUUUAGGACACACAAUCACGAGCAAUGGCCUUAAGCCUAAUAAUGAUAAGAUCAAAGAAGUUUUAAACUACCCCCUACCCCGUACCGUAACAAAAAGUUUCUUAGGAUUAAUUGGAUAUCGGCGUUUCAUAAGAGAUUUCAAAAAUUACACUACAUAUGACCGCAAGAUUAAUAAAGAAACGUUCAAUGCCAAUCGAUGAUGAGAAAUACAUAACCGCUUUCCAAAAAUGUAAAGAAUUAUUAGUAAAUGCGCCUAUUUUACAACAUGGAAAACCGUAUAUAUUAACAACAGACGCUUCAAAAUUCGCUCUUAGUGCAAUAUUGUCACAAGGCACAGUAGGAAAUGAAAAACCCGUGCCGCACGCCAGCCGAACUUUAAAUGAUGCUGAAACACGGUAUAGUGUAACGGAAAAAGAAUUGCUUGCAAUCGUUUGGGCUGUCAAACAUUUUCGACCCUCUCUCUAUGGUAGAUUUACAAUUGUAACUGAUCAUAAGCCCUUCACUUUGCUUAAUACCCUUAAACAGACAAAUAGUCGUUUGAAUCGUUGGAGACGUAUCAGAGUAUCAGAAUACGACUUUAAACAACAACUAAUAAAACAACACGCAGCAAGAACUAAAUUUUUCUACAAACGUAUUUCGGGACAAACGAUAAAAAUGAAGGAAAAACGAAACGAAAAAAAGAGCAGGAGAAACAGAAUUAAAAAUUUAACAAGGAGACUCAAUAUUUUCCAAAAAUACAAAUAAAAGAGUUACCAAAUAUAGCCGAUAUAAGCCGCGUUUUACCAAAAAGUUAUAGUUACAGAUGAUAUAGUUAGAAACACAGUUCCCGUUCAAAUAACAGAACGCAGUACAAAAAUUCCACUAAAAACAUUAAACGCUCUUCACAGGCACCCCCGCGUCCUUCUCUGAUGACUAUCAUGACAAUGCAAGUCCACGCCCUUCAACUUCAGGUACUAAAUAACAAUCCCGGAGCUUUACCCGUCAAGGAAGGCACUGCCGUUUUGAGCAAAGAUGCUGAUGGUGGAUUAGAAGUGGAUAAUAGCAAGAGUAUUGGACUUUAAACAUAUUAGGGAAGACUUAGAUCUUAACAUUCAAUAUUUCAGAGAACAUAUGCAAUAUUCUAUAUGCCAAAUAAUAGCAAGAGUAUUGGACUUUAAACAUAUUAGGGAAGACUUAGAUCUUAACAUUCAAUAUUUCAGAGAACAUAUGCAAUAUUCUAUAUGCAAAAUUCAUAUAGAAUAUAAUAUUAUUAUUAAGUAAGCAAAUUCGAAUAAAUCACUCCUACCUUUAAAAUUAAACGCGGACGGAUCAACCCAAUCAGAUCAUUAAUUAAAACCAUUACAGGAAAUGGAUCACGAUGAUGCCAUAAAAUACGAUAAAUUUAUUAGUGAAAUAAAAUCAGAUCAAGACGCUAAUGAUAAAAAAUUAACGUUAAUCUCUGAAAUGGUGCAAAUUGUAUCUAAUUCAACCAUUACCUUAAAUAAAAAUUCAUUCGAUUGAAUAAAGAAAUUGCAACAUUGUGGCAAAAUUAUACUGACAAUUUACGAAUCGAACACUUUGAAGUUCAAAUCAUAUCCGCAUACAAUAGAAUAUAUUAUAACCAUCAGAUGGUCCAUGCUAAACUAAGUGAAAUCAAAACCAUUUUUGCACUUAGUAGAUUAGGAAUAUUACAUCAAUUCAUUAUUGAUUCAAACAAAUUACAAAGUCUACUUGAAAAUAUUCAUAAGAAAUAACAUUUAGUCUAGACGCCUAGCUUAAGAGACUUACACUCAGUUGCAGAAACAGACUUUAAAUUUUAAUGCCUUCUUUAAAUGCAAUUGAAUCAUUAACUUGUUGCACAAACAAACAUUAGCAAAGAUUUUAAUGCCUCUUUAAAUUUAACUAAUGAAGUGUCAAUCUUGCACAUUAGCUAUAAUUUACGUUGCACAAAACGUCAUUAACGUCAAAUUGGCGCUAAAGGACCAUUAUUUUGACAGUUUGAGGUUAUAAUUUUUAAUGACUGCAAACGCUCUCGUUAAAAUCGUCAUUAAUAGUGUUUCAGUGAUAAAACCUAUUCUUGCUAAUUAAAAUGUCGCUCUCAAGCCUAUCGUCGUUGUCUGACCCGGAAGAAGUCGUUUCAACUGGACGUAGAAUACCAGAUAGGGUAAAUAUUUUUGAUGAACAUGAUGGUGAAGAUUUCCGCAUUAGAUAUCAUCUAUAUAAAGUUACGGCUCUGCAAAUUUUUGAACUUUUGGAUUUAGAACCAGUAACACAACGAAAUAAAGCCAUAGAUGGCAUAACACAAUUAUUAAUUUGUUUGAGGUUCUUUGCCACUGGAUCAUUUCAGCAGGUGCUUGGUGAUUUAGUUAAUAUUCAUAAAUCAACAGUAUGUCGUAUAGUACAGAAAGUGACACGCAAGCUCGCAGAUCUGAGCUCAGCUUAUAUUAAGAUGCCUGAUAGGCAGGAGUUGAGAAGGGUUGCAGAAGACUUUUAUGAGAUUUCUGGAUUCCCACGGGUUGCAGGAGCCCUAGAUUGCACCCAUAUCAAAAUAGUUAGCCGAGGAGGGUCCUUAGCCGAACUGUAUCGUUGCAGAAAAGGAUAUUUUUCAAUUAAUGUUCAAGCGGUAUGUGAUGCCUCUUUAAAAAUAAGAGAUUUAAUUGUAAGGUGGCCAGGAUCUGUACAUGAUUCAACAAUAUUAUUUAACAACUCCCAUUUGUGUGCAGAUUUUGAAAGAGGAAAAUAUAGCCCAUACCAUUUAUUAGGAGAUAGUGGCUACUUCAAUAAGAACUAUUUGCUGACCCCUUUUUUGAAUCCUCAAAAUUCUGCAGAGGAAGCUUAUAAUAAAAGCCACAUUUCUACUAGAAAUACUGUGGAGAGGUGCUUCGGGGUACUUAAACGUCGCUGCCCAUGCUUGGAAAAAGGAAUAACUUUAAAAAAAACUUCAACCAUUCUUCAGGUGAUUCUGGCAUGUGUAGUGCUACAUAACAUAUGCAUAGAGCUAAAUGAAGUUGAUCCUCCAGAAGACAUUGAAAUUUCAGUAGACAGUCCUAAUAUUGGAAUAUUGUCUAUAAGUUCUCAGUCCACAAACAGUGCUGUUCGUGCUGCACUAGUAAAUAGUGUCUUUUGUUAAACUAUAAUUAAUUAAUACUUGUUUGUGUAAGAUAAUAACUUAAGAAAUAAAUGAAAUACAUAUGUGCGAAAUAUGUUUUUAUUCCUGUGGCUAACAAUAGUAUGAAAAAUGUUAAAAAUGAAUUCAUAUGAACAUGAAGAUUUAAAAAAAGCAAAUCAGUGGAGACUAAUGUUGUUCUAGUCUCCACUGUUUUGCUUUUAGAAUCUGCAUCCGAAGUUCAUGCUCUUUUUUGAGGUUUAAUAUCUCAAUCAUCAGCUUUUUUCUUUCCAAAUCAGCAUUCUGCCUUUUUUUUUUGAAAUAUGUGUUCUCACCACCAAUGGACUCUUCUUCCAUGGGUCCACAUGUGUCUCCAUGUAUUAAUUCGCAUGUCCUAGUGCUUACACUAUCGCUUUUCAUAAAUGGUAGCCUAUGUAUUUUUCCUUUUAAGCAGCUUUCACAUUGUGGCACAUUGGUUUGUUUCACAACAAUGUUGUUUUUCGCCAACACUUUCUUUACGUGAUCAAAGUUCUGAUGUGCUAACUUCUGAUGCCAUUUAUAUAAGUCAUUCUUUACUACUUUAGCUACAUUUACAUGCUCACUUUUAAAACGAAAUUCCAUAUAAUAUGAGUUAUCGAGUCUAUUCGCAACAGCACAAACAAUGUUAUUCUUGUAAAACCGGCAAGUAUUGUUGUUUGUCAUCAUGACAUAGCCACGGUCUGCAGCGCGGUUCACAGAGAAUAAAUUUGUCUAUAGUUCGGGAACGAACAAUACGUUGUCUAUGGUUGUAUCAACCCAUUCACUCCCAUUAUGGACCUGUACCGCCAUCUGUCCAGAUCCUAAUACACUAAUAGUAGCACCGUUACCUACAAUUACCGACUUUUGCGAGACACUCGAAAAUGAUGACAACAAUGACCUAUCAAAGCACAUAUGUUCGCUAGCCCCUGAAUCAACUAGCCACUUUGAUUUUUCAUAUUUUUCGUCUUCUGAGUUACACACAACGAACGCAUUACUCAUUUUCUUAUUGUCCUUUAGCUUUCUAUAACGACACUGCGCCUUAACAUGUCCCGGUUUACCACAAUAAAAGCACUUAUUAAAGUCCACGUUUUUCUCAUUGUCUCUAUUAUUUCGACACUCUGACUGGUAAUGUCCCGGUUUGCCACAUUUAAAACACUUAGCAUUUCUCUUGGCUACGAACGCUGACGUCGUCUCCUGGUUUUCUUCAAUCUUUUCCUUCAACCUUUCCUCUUCUACUAAUAGCCUUGCCACCAAAUUAUCAAAUGUUUGUUUAUUAUCGGGUGCGGACUCCCAUGCCGAUAUAAAAUGUUUAUAUUCAUCUGGUAAAUUAUCAAAACUUUAGUUAUUGUAAAUUUGUCUGAGAUCUCCUCACCCAAUUGCUUCAACUGACUCUGCAUUUCUUGGAUUUUAGAUAUAAACACCGACAUAUCAACUCCUUUCUCAUAUUUAUAUUGAAAGAAACGUUGCUGUAUAAUGUGAAUGCUGGUUUCCGACUUUUGUUCGUAGACACAUAACAGCUUUUGCCACAUUUCAGCAGAAGAUGUACAAGUUAUGAUAUGCAGCAUGACAUCCUCAGACAUCCUGGUGACUAUCAAUGAUUGAGCCUUAGCAUCCUUUACUUCCCAGGCAGCUCUUGCAACAGCGUCUUCUGGUUUUACCGUCCGCCCUUCAACAACGUCCAACCAUCCUUGACCUUUCAACAAUACUGUUAUUUGAAACUUCCAAACAUUCCAAUUUUUCGCACCUUCCAGUUUCAUCACAUGAGUGGUAUUAUUUACUUCCAUCUUGCGUAAUUAGCGUUAUUAAUAUUCCUCCUGACCACAAUUUUCAGUCGGCACGUGCCGGCCAACUUAACCUCACUUUUAGUCAGUCUUCAAUACCGCACGAUGUAUUUUUUUUUAUUCUUUCUUCUAAAUAGGUAGCCGUGCCUGGGCCCAUAACCUAUUGUUCUUUGAGUAAAUGAAACUGUAUUUAAUGAUAUGGAAAUGUUUUAUUGAACAGUACUUGGUACAAUCAUUACCACACACAAAGACGAAGCAAUGCGAAGAAAAAAAAAAGGAGUCACGAUGCUUCCCAUAGACUAUACACAUAUCAUAGAUAGAAAGUAUCUACAUUGCUUGUCUAUUAACAAUAUAGAAUAUACAAAAUCACCGAUGCUCAAUUUACCCCUACUUGAUUCAACGAAAAAAAUAAAAACCGCAGAACCAGUGCACCUGGAAGACGUCGAUCUUACAGACCUGAAGAUCCUCUCAUUCGCCCCGAAGAAAAGUAUUAGUGGUUGUGAAAACAGUGAAAAGGCAAUUAUCCAUGUGAAAAGUGUUAGCGUUUGGACUCCGCGCAUCUAUGUAAUUUUAAUAUCUUUCAUUAUAUGUGCAUUAGUAUAUAAGUACCGUCUGAAAUUUGUAAAAUUUCAGUAAGUAGUUCUCCUGAAACAGAGAACUCCGUUCUUAAGGUGGGAGGAGUUACGUCGGGCACCUCUGCUGACGCUAGUAUGCAAAGUAUGCAAAGGCAGACUUCUGCUGAAUUGUAGAAUUUGCAGACGACGCCAUGGUGCUCCGAUGCCCUUCCAAGUUAGUCUUAAGUCAAAUUUGGUGCGGAAUAAACGUUCUUAAAAUAAAA